rnacentral:rRNA from 1 species
AUUGAACGCUGGCGGCAGGCCUAACACAUGCAAGUCGAACGGUAACAGGAAGAAGCUUGCUUCUUUGCUGACGAGUGGCGGACGGGUGAGUAAUGUCUGGGAAACUGCCUGACGGAGGGGGAUAACUACUGGAAACGGUAGCUAAUACCGCAUAACGUCGCAAGACCAAAGAGGGGGACCUUCGGGCCUUUUGCCAUCGGAUGUGCCCAGAUGGGAUUAGCUAGUAGGUGGGGUAACGGCUCACCUAGGCGACGAUCCCUAGCUGGUCUGAGAGGAUGACCAGCCACACUGGAACUGAGACACGGUCCAGACUCCUACGGGAGGCAGCAGUGGGGAAUAUUGCACAAUGGGCGCAAGCCUGAUGCAGCCAUGCCGCGUGUAUGAAGAAGGCCUUCGGGUUGUAAAGUACUUUCAGCGGGGAGGAAGGGAGUAAAGUUAAUACCUUUGCUCAUUGACGUUACCCGCAGAAGAAGCACCGGCUAACUCCGUG